UGGGGAAUUUUGGACAAUGGGCGCAAGCCUGAUCCAGCCAUGCCGCGUGCGGGAAGAAGGCCUUCGGGUUGUAAACCGCUUUUGUCGGGGAAGAAAUGCUCUGGGCUAAUACCCUGGGGAGAUGACGGUACCCGAAGAAUAAGCACCGGCUAACUACGUGCCAGCAGCCGCGGUAAUACGUAGGGUGCAAGCGUUAAUCGGAAUUACUGGGCGUAAAGCGUGCGCAGGCGGUCAUACAAGACAGAUGUGAAAUCCCCGGGCUCAACCUGGGAACUGCAUUUGUGACUGUAUGGCUGGAGUACGGUAGAGGGGGAUGGAAUUCCGCGUGUAGCAGUGAAAUGCGUAGAUAUGCGGAGGAACACCGAUGGCGAAGGCAGUCCCCUGGACCUGUACUGACGCU
rnacentral:rRNA from 1 species